rnacentral:rRNA from 1 species
AUGACAACGCCCCGUAGCAUGAUCUUGAGCCUUUCCUUCAUAGUAGCCUCUGCAGGCCUUGCCAUCCAAGGCAGAACCUGCAGUUGCCUGCAAUUUAACUACCCCAGCUUCGACAUGACCAACAAGAAUGAUUUCAGCUUCAGCCCAGGUUCAGCAAUUGCAAAUGGUUCCCUGAGAAUCGUGCCGAACACCGGAAACUCGAGCCACCAGUCGGGAAGGGUGGUAUACGUAAAGGAAACCCUCAAGCUGUGGAACAGGAAGCGAACUGUGCUCACAUCUUUCGGGACGCAGUUCACGCUCAACAUCCUCCCGGGAGAAGGUAUGGCUUUCAUACUCACAAAUAGCCUGUCGUUGCCCAGGAACAGCGGCGGCCAGUGGCUCGGCGUAUGCAACAACCAGACAGAUGGCGCGCCAACGAACCGAAUAGUAGCCGUGGAAUUCGACACGAGAAAGAGCUACCAGGACGACCUCGACGGCAACCAUGUCGGGCUCGACUUGAAAAGCAUCAAAUCUGUUUAUCCGUACCCGCUCAGCAAUCUUUCAAUCAUCCUGUCAAGCGGCUCGGAUGUCUUGGUUAGUAUCAUCUACAACAGCACAUCACAUGCUUUUGUAUUAUCUGUAAGCCAGCGCAACACAAGUGGCAGUGGGGGGCAUAAUUGGCGAGAGAGCUGGCCGGUUGAUCUAUCACGGUACCUACUGGACGAAAUAUAUCUGGGAUUCGCAGGUUCCACGGGUGAUUACACCCAACUGAACCAGAUAAAAUCGUGGAACUUCACCACGAUAGACGACAUACUCGUCGCUGAAAGAACAAGACAUGGGAAGUGGGUGUUUUUGGUUCUCAUUGCCUUGGUUUUCCUUGUUACAUGUUCAUCGUUUCUUGUGUUGUUGGUGCGGAGAAGGGUGACACAGCGGAGAAGGCUAGCCUACCGCACGCUCGAGAAAAUGAUCGACGCACAUGGCCCGGUUAGAUUUAAGCUCAAGGAGUUGAAGCACGCGACCGCCAACUUCAGCCCUCACCGUAAGCUCGGUAGAGGUGGCGGCGGCACUGUUUACCUUGGAUACCUGAAUGGGAUCAACAGAGAGGUGGCUGUGAAGCGGGUCUCACUCUCAAGCCGAGGAGAGAAGGAGUUCGUGGCGGAGGUGAACACGAUCAGCAAGCUCUCCCACCGCAACCUUGUCAAGCUGAUUGGCUGGUGCCAUGAGGGAGGCGAACUACUCCUCGCCUACGACUACUUCCCCAUGGGCAGCCUGGACAAGCUAUUGUUCGCCAAUGCCACAACGACCACGUACUCGUCAUCGGCGCUCACAUGGGAGCGGCGAUACAGGAUAAUCUGUGGCGUGGCAUCUGCACUCGACUACCUUCUGUUGAGUAAAUAG